rnacentral:rRNA from 1 species
UACGAAGGGGGCUAGCGUUGCUCGGAAUCACUGGGCGUAAAGCGCACGUAGGCGGCUUUCUAAGUCAGGGGUGAAAUCCCGGAGCUCAACUCCGGAACUGCCUUUGAUACUGGAAAGCUCGAGUCCGGGAGAGGUGAGUGGAACUGCGAGUGUAGAGGUGAAAUUCGUAGAUAUUCGCAAGAACACCAGUGGCGAAGGCGGCUCACUGGCCCGGUACUGACGCUGAGGUGCGAAAGCGUGGGGAGCAAACAGGAUUAGAAACCCGUGUAGUCC